CCAUGCGAGUCGAGAGGGGUCAAGCCCUCGGCGCGACUGCUCAGNUAACACGCUGGACAACCUGGCCCUCUAGGACGGGGGAUAACCCUCGGGGAAACUGGAGAAUAAUACCCGAUAGAUCUGGGAUGAUGGAAGGCUCCCAGGUCCAAUCCUGCGGGGCUCGAGGAUGGGUCUGCGGCCUAUCAGGUAGUAGGGGGUUAUACAGACCCCCUACCCGAAGACGGGUACGGGCUUUGGGACAAGUCGCCCGGAAAUGGAUUCUGAAACACAAAUCCAGGUCCUACGGGACGCAGCAGGCGCGAAACCUCCACAAUGUGGGAAACCACGAUGGGGGAAUCUCCAGUGCCUACACUUAUGUCUAGGCUGUUCUCUAGCCCUAAAAGCUCGAGAAAGUAGGGCCGGGUANGACGGGUGCCAGCCGCCCGCGGUAA
rnacentral:rRNA from 1 species